GACCUUUUCUGCAGAGCUGCUUUCCAGCUGGCUGGUCCCCAGUGGCAGGACUCGGCAUUUCAAACCAUCUUCUCAAGGGAAGGAGUCCAUGGCAUGGCUGUAUGUUACUGUCUCAUGCGGCAGUGUGCACGGCCUUGAUGGAACCAGACUCAACAAAGCUCUUAUGCAAGAGAGUGGGGAGCAUGAAAACAAUCCACCUCCUUUUAGCCUCCUACAACCUGUCACAUAGUCUGGUCCUUCCUCCUGCAUGCGCUUGGCCUGGGGCAGUUUAGUGAAUCCAUCACAAGCUGCCAAGGGUCACUGACAGAGAUGCUGCAUCUUUUCAACUCAGUGCAAAUGGGACCUCCCUCUGGGUUAACAACGUGCACAGAAAGGGAACAUACCUGGUGGCCACGAGGCUUCUGGUUGAACUGGGAAAUGGCCCUGGAGUCUGCUUGGGACCAGCCACUCAUGC